UACAGAGGUCCCGAGCGUUGUUCGGAUUCACUGGGCGUAAAGGGUGCGUAGGUGGUUGUGCAAGUCUGAUGUGAAAUCUCCGGGCGUAACCCGGAAAUGGCAUUGGAAACUGCAUGGCUAGAGGGUUGGAGGGGGGACUGGAAUACUUGGUGUAGCAGUGAAAUGCGUAGAUAUCAAGUGGAACACCAGUGGCGAAGGCGAGUCCCUGGACAACACCUGACACUGAGGCACGAAAGCUAGGGGAGCAAACAGG
rnacentral:rRNA from 1 species